rnacentral:rRNA from 1 species
UACGUAGGGUGCGAGCGUUGUCCGGAAUUAUUGGGCGUAAAGAGCUCGUAGGCGGUCCGUCGCGUCGAAUGUGAAAACCCGGGGCUCAACCCCGGGCUUGCAUUCGAUACGGGCGGACUAGAGUUCGGUAGGGGAGACUGGAAUUCCUGGUGUAGCGGUGAAAUGCGCAGAUAUCAGGAGGAACACCGGUGGCGAAGGCGGUUCUCUGGGCCGAUACUGACGCUGAGGAGCGAAAGCGUGGGGAGCAAACAGG